rnacentral:rRNA from 1 species
UCCAACGACUGCGCCACGUUGAAUACACCAGUUCUCGUGCGAUCACUGAAGUUAAGCGACGUCGGGCGUGGUCAGUACUCGGAUGGGUGACCGUCUGGGAGAUCACAUGUUGUUGGUU